rnacentral:rRNA from 1 species
CGUUAUCCGGAUUUAUUGGGUUUAAAGGGAGCGUAGAUGGAUGUUUAAGUCAGUUGUGAAAGUUUGCGGCUCAACCGUAAAAUUGCAGUUGAUACUGGAUAUCUUGAGUGCAGUUGAGGCAGGCGGAAUUCGUGGUGUAGCGGUGAAAUGCUUAGAUAUCACGAAGAACUCCGAUUGCGAAGGCAGCCUGCUAAGCUGCAACUGACAUUGAGGCUCGAAAGUGUGGGUAUCAAACAGGAUUAGAUACCCUGGUAGUCCACACGGUAAACGAUGAAUACUCGCUGUUUGCGAUAUACAGCAAGCGGCCAAGCGAAAGCGUUAAGUAUUCCACCUGGGGAGUACGCCGGCAACGGUGAAACUCAAAGGAAUUGACGGGGGCCCGCACAAGCGGAGGAACAUGUGGUUUAAUUCGAUGAUACGCGAGGAACCUUACCCGGGCUUAAAUUGCAGAUGAAUUACGGUGAAAGCCGUAAGCCGCAAGGCAUCUGUGAAGGUGCUGCAUGGUUGUCGUCAGCUCGUGCCGUGAGGUGUCGGCUUAAGUGCCAUAACGAGCGCAACCCUUGUUGUCAGUUACUAACAGGUUCCGCUGAGGACUCUGACAAGACUGCCAUCGUAAGAUGUGAGGAAGGUGGGGAUGACGUCAAAUCAGCACGGCCCUUACGUCCGGGGCUACACACGUGUUACAAUGGGGGGUACAGAGGGCCGCUACCACGCGAGUGGAUGCCAAUCCCCAAAACCUCUCUCAGUUCGGACUGGAGUCUGCAACCCGACUCCACGAAGCUGGAUUCGCUAGUAAUCGCGCAUCAGCCACGGCGCGGUGAAUACGUUCCCGGGCCUUGUACACACCGCCCGUCAAGCCAUGGGAGCCGGGGGUACCUGAAGUGCGUAACCGCGAGGAGCGCCCUAGGGUA